CAAAACAUCAAAUCAAAAAAAAAAAGGAAAAUCACCAAUUCGCUAUCCGAUUAGAAAGAAAGCACGAAGCUUUACCGAGGAGACAGCUGUUAAAGAUCCGAAAUUUAAGCUUCGAUUUUUGAGAGUGAACUUCUGGGGAUCACCAAAACGGAGAAGGGGACGAGACUCAGCCUACUUUGCAGUGCAAAAAUGAGGAUUUUUAGGGUUUCAAUAGAGAGAGAGAGAG